UCAUAUGCUUGUCUCAAAGANUAAACCAUGCAUGUCCAAGUACAUACCGCACUAAGGCGAAACCGCAAAUGGCUCAUUAAAUCAGUUACGGUUCCUUGGAUCGUACCCCACUACUUGGAUAACUGUGGUAAUUCUAGAGCUAAUACAUGCAGCAGAGCUCCGACCCUCGGGAACGAGCGCUUUUAUUAGACCAAAACCAAACGGGCCUCAAAAACCCGCAAUCGAAAGUGGUGACUCUGGAUAACUUCGGGCCGAUCGCACGGGCUCGUCCCGGCGACGUAUCUUUCAAGUGUCUGCCUUAUCAACUGUCGAUGGUAGGUCACGCGCCUACCAUGGUCGUAACGGGUGACGGGGAAUCAGGGUUCGAUUCCGGAGAGGGAGCCUGAGAAACGGCUACCACAUCCAAGGAAGGCAGCAGGCGCGCAAAUKWCCCWCUCCCGGCACGGGGAGGUAGUGASGAAAAAUAACGAUAYRRGACUCUUUCGAGACCCCGUAAUCGGAAUGAGCACAGCCCAAACCCUUUCACGAGGAUCCAUUGGAGGGCAAGUCUGGUGCCAGCAGCCGCGGUAAUUC
rnacentral:rRNA from 1 species